UAGGGAAUCUUCCACAAUGGACGCAAGUCUGAUGGAGCAACGCCGCGUGAGUGAAGAAGGUCUUCGGAUCGUAAAAGCUCUGUUGUUGGUGAAGAAGGAUAGAGGCAGUAACUGGUCUUUAUUUGACGGUAAUCAACCAGAAAGUCACGGCUAACUACGUGCCAGCAGCCGCGGUAAUACGUAGGUGGCAAGCGUUGUCCGGAUUUAUUGGGCGUAAAGCGAGCGCAGGCGGAAUGAUAAGUCUGAUGUGAAAGCCCACGGCUCAACCGUGGAACUGCAUCGGAAACUGUCAUUCUUGAGUGCAGAAGAGGAGAGUGGAACUCCAUGUGUAGCGGUGGAAUGCGUAGAUAUAUGGAAGAACACCAGUGGCGAAGGCGGCUCUCUGGUCUGCAAACUGACGCUGAGGCUCGAAAGCAUGGGUAGCGAACAGGAUUAGAUACCCUGGUAGUCCAUGCCGUAAACGAUGAGCGCUAGGUGUUGG
rnacentral:rRNA from 1 species